UGUAAGCCGUUGAAGGUGUGCUGUGAGGCAUGCUGGAGGUAUCAGAAGUGCGAAUGCUGACAUAAGUAACGAUAAAGCGGGUGAAAAGCCCGCUCGCCGGAAGACCAAGGGUUCCUGUCCAACGUUAAUCGGGGCAGGGUGAGUCGACCCCUAAGGCGAGGCCGAAAGGCGUAGUCGAUGGGAAACAGGUUAAUAUUCCUGUACUUGGUGUUACUGCGAAGGGGGGACGGAGAAGGCUAUGUCAGCCGGGCGACGGUUGUCCCGGUUUAAGCAUGUAGGCGGAGGUUCCAGGUAAAUCCGGUACCUUAUUAACGCUGAGGUGUGAUGACGAGGCACUACGGUGCUGAAGUGAUAAAUGCCCUGCUUCCAGGAAAAGCCUCUAAGCAUCAGGUAACACGAAAUCGUACCCCAAACCGACACAGGUGGUCAGGUAGAGAAUACCAAGGCGCUUGAGAGAACUCGGGUGAAGGAACUAGGCAAAAUGGUGCCGUAACUUCGGGAGAAGGCACGCUGAUGUGUAGGUGAAGUCCCUGCGGACGGAGCUGAAAUCAGUCGAAGAUACCAGCUGGCUGCAACUGUUUAUUAAAAACACAGCACUGUGCAAACACGAAAGUGGACGUAUACGGUGUGACGCCUGCCCGGUGCCGGAAGGUUAAUUGAUGGGGUUAGCGGCAACGCGAAGCUCUUGAUCGAAGCCCCGGUAAACGGCGGCCGUAACUAUAACGGUCCUAAGGUAGCGAAAUUCCUUGUCGGGUAAGUUCCGACCUGCACGAAUGGCGUAAUGAUGGCCAGGCUGUCUCCACCCGAGACUCAGUGAAAUUGAACUCGCUGUGAAGAUGCAGUGUACCCGCGGCAAGACGGAAAGACCCCGUGAACCUUUACUAUAGCUUGACACUGAACACUGGUCCUUGAUGUGUAGGAUAGGUGGGAGGCUUUGAAGCGUGGACGCCAGUCUGCGUGGAGCCAACCUUGAAAUACCACCCUUUAAUGGCUGGUGUUCUAACGUAGACCCGUAAUCCGGGUUGCGGACAGUGUCUGGUGGGUAGUUUGACUGGGGCGGUCUCCUCCCAAAGAGUAACGGAGGAGCACGAAGGUUGGCUAAUCCUGGUCGGACAUCAGGAGGUUAGUGCAAUGGCAUAAGCCAGCUUGACUGCGAGCGUGACGGCGCGAGCAGGUGCGAAAGCAGGUCAUAGUGAUCCGGUGGUUCUGAAUGGAAGGGCCAUCGCUCAACGGAUAAAAGGUACUCCGGGGAUAACAGGCUGAUACCGCCCAAGAGUUCAUAUCGACGGCGGUGUUUGGCACCUCGAUGUCGGCUCAUCACAUCCUGGGGCUGAAGUAGGUCCCAAGGGUAUGGCUGUUCGCCAUUUAAAGUGGUACGCGAGCUGGGUUUAGAACGUCGUGAGACAGUUCGGUCCCUAUCUGCCGUGGGCGCUGGAGAAUUGAGGGGGGCUGCUCCUAGUACGAGAGGACCGGAGUGGACGCAUCACUGGUGUUCGGGUUGUCAUGCCAAUGGCACUGCCCGGUAGCUAAAUGCGGAAGAGAUAAGUGCUGAAAGCAUCUAAGCACGAAACUUGCCCCGAGAUGAGUUCU
rnacentral:rRNA from 1 species